rnacentral:tRNA from 1 species
GACUCCAUGGCCCAAUUGAUAAGACGCUGGUCUAUGAAACCAGAGAUUCUGGGUUCAAUCCCCAGCGGAGUCG